GGCAGGCCUAACACAUGCAAGUCGAGCGGCAGCACAGGUACUUGUACCGGGUGGCGAGCGGCGGACGGGUGAGUAAUGCCUAGGAAUCUGCCUGGUAGUGGGGGAUAACGUUCGGAAACGGACGCUAAUACCGCAUACGUCCUACGGGAGAAAGUGGGGGAUCUUCGGACCUCACGCUAUCAGAUGAGCCUAGGUCGGAUUAGCUAGUUGGUGAGGUAAUGGCUCACCAAGGCGACGAUCCGUAACUGGUCUGAGAGGAUGAUCAGUCACACUGGAACUGAGACACGGUCCAGACUCCUACGGGAGGCAGCAGUGGGGAAUAUUGGACAAUGGGCGAAAGCCUGAUCCAGCCAUGCCGCGUGUGUGAAGAAGGUCUUCGGAUUGUAAAGCACUUUAAGUUGGGAGGAAGGGCAUUAACCUAAUACGUUGGUGUUUUGACGUUACCGACAGAAUAAGCACCGGCUAACUCUGUGCCAGCAGCCGCGGUAAUACAGAGGGUGCAAGCGUUAAUCGGAAUUACUGGGCGUAAAGCGCGCGUAGGUGGUUUGUUAAGUUGAAUGUGAAAUCCCCGGGCUCAACCUGGGAACUGCAUCCAAAACUGGCAAGCUAGAGUAUGGUAGAGGGUGGUGGAAUUUCCUGUGUAGCGGUGAAAUGCGUAGAUAUAGGAAGGAACACCAGUGGCGAAGGCGACCACCUGGACUGAUACUGACACUGAGGUGCGAAAGCGUGGGGAGCAAAC
rnacentral:rRNA from 1 species